GGCGAACGCUGGCGGCGUGCUUAACACAUGCAAGUCGAACGGAAAGGCCCUGCUUUUGUGGGGUGCUCGAGUGGCGAACGGGUGAGUAACACGUGAGUAACCUGCCCUUGACUUUGGGAUAACUUCAGGAAACUGGGGCUAAUACCGGAUAGGAGCUCCUGCUGCAUGGUGGGGGUUGGAAAGUUUCGGCGGUUGGGGAUGGACUCGCGGCUUAUCAGCUUGUUGGUGGGGUAGUGGCUUACCAAGGCUUUGACGGGUAGCCGGCCUGAGAGGGUGACCGGCCACAUUGGGACUGAGAUACGGACCAGACUCCUACGGGAGGCAGCAGUGGGGAAUAUUGCACAAUGGGCGGAAGCCUGAUGCAGCAACGCCGCGUGCGGGAUGACGGCCUUCGGGUUGUAAACCGCUUUCGCAUGUGACGAAGCGUGAGUGACGGUAAUGGGUAAAGAAGCACCGGCUAACUACGUG
rnacentral:rRNA from 1 species